CACCCCGGGGUGGCCGCGCGCCCGGCUCCCUCGGCGCCCGCCGCCAACGCCGCUGCCAACUCCGGCGGGGCCAUGAAGAAACUGUCUGGAUCGCUGGUCUCAACAGACUUUUACCCCAAGCGUAAAAGGGUUGCAUCCGAGGCCAAAGGAUCGUCCAGCGAGGUGGCCUCUGGCUGCAGUGCCCCCGGAUCCCCAGCUGCCGUCGGGUCUGCAGAGCAAACUCCCCGCAAGCGCUUGCGGUAAGUCAGUCUGGCAGUGGAGGAGCCUCCAGGGAGCCCCUCGAGGGAGCACCAGAGCAGCUCGGCUCGAACCGUCCAUGUAGCAACAAAAGGGCCCGCGGUGGCAGUCGCGGAGGAUCGGCUGUUUUUUGUGUUUUAAGUCGUUGGAAAACUGUGCAAUGUACUAAGAUCGCCCUUUCUAUCUCAUUGUUCUCUGCGGGAGGGUGCACUGUCCACCCCAGACUAGGGGAGAGCGCUGUAAGAGUCAUUUAUAUAAAGUGUUUAAUCUCUGCUGCAACUCAGUGCUAAAGAAAAAAGUAAAAUGGAAAAAAAAAGAGAAAAAAUCAGAAAAACAUGUAUAUUUGUACAAAAAAUUUAAGAAAGUUAUACUAACUUAUAUUUCUAUUUAUGUCGAGGCGUGGGCCACUCUGCCACGCCCUUGCCCGGUCACUGGUUGAUGCCAACGCAAGGUCACCUGCACCUGGUCACUCACCACACCUUAAAUGUGUCUUGACAGUGGGAUGGAUCUAGGGGAGGGCGCCCCCCGCAGCUGCCAACCGACCUAAACGCCGCCACACAGCCGCCUCUCGCCAGCCAGCUUUCCUUGAGCCCAAUAUAUACUAUCUGUGAAUUUGACGACAAACUUGUUCAAAUGGUUCCUGAGCCGUGUGUACCACUGCCCUGGCUACCUCCAUUGGGGGUUAAUAAAGAGAUCAAUAAGUGCUGCAA